rnacentral:rRNA from 1 species
UCUAAGUAUAACCUGCCAGACAGGGAAACUGCGUACGGCUCAUUACACCAGCCUUGAUUUACUUGACCUUGACAACCUACUUGGAUAACUGUGGUAAUUCUAGAGCUAAUACAUGCACCAAAGCUCCGAUCCUCGCGGAGAGGAGCGCAUUUGUUCGCCACAAAACCAAGCGCCCAUCUGGGCGUCCAGUGCUGAACCAGAACAACUCAGCUGAUCGCACGGUCUUGUACCGGCGACGUGUCUUUCAAGUGUCUGCCUUAUCAACUUUCGAUGGUAGUGUACCUGACUACCAUGGUUGUGACGGGUAACGGAGGAUAAGGGUUCGACUCCGGAGAAGGGGCCUGAGAAAUGGCCACUACGUCUAAGGAUGGCAGCAGGCGCGCAAAUUACCCACUCUCAACGCGAGGAGGUAGUGACGAGAAAUAACGAGACCGUUCUCAUACGAGGCCGGUUAUUGGAAUGGGUACAAUUUAAA